rnacentral:tRNA from 1 species
GCCUGGGUGGCUCAGUUGGUUGAGCGUCUGACUUCGGCUCAGGUCAUGAUCUCACGGUCUGUGAGUUCGAGCCCCGUGUCAGGCU